AGUAUUAUGUCUGAUAAAGGUAAUAAAUUGUAAAUUUAUAAAUGAAAAGUUAUUUUUCUAAUACUA
rnacentral:tRNA from 1 species